UAUAAAGUGGCGAACGGCUGAGUAACACGUGGGCAACCUGCCCUUUGCACUGGGAUAGGCCUCGGGAAACCGAGGUUAAUACCGGAUACUCCAUAUUUGUCGCAUGGCGAAUAUUGGGAAAGCUCCGGCGGCAAAGGAUGGGCCCGCGGCCUGUUAGCUAGUUGGUGGGGUAGUGGCCUACCAAGGCAAUGAUGGGUAGCCGGGUUGAGAGACCGACCGGCCAGAUUGGGACUGAGACACGGCCCAGACUCCUACGGGAGGCAGCAGUC
rnacentral:rRNA from 1 species